GCAGAGGCAAGGCCAGAUGAGAUGAUGCCAUAAGGUUUAUUUCAUGUUCCUGUUGAGCAGGAGCCCAGAGCAGCUCCUUCCUCCCUUGAGGGGCAGCGCCUCCAAACGCCUGUGAGGGCUGGACAGCUUCAAGAAGGAUGAAAUGUCCCCAAGAAAUGGCCAAAGGAGGGUGUUUUUCAGGAGCUGGGAGUGCUCUGCUGAAAAGGAUGAUAAAACCAGGAGGCGUUUGACACGCACAGAUUUGGCCAAGGAAUUCAGAUCAAGUACCCCUUUCUGUGGUCAGGAUACAGGUCCUCUGUGCCAUCUUUGGAGUUCCAGGUGCUGUUUGAAGUCCUCCACUCCCUCAUCCCUGCACACCCUCUACAUGGUGGACACGGAGAAUGCUCAUCACACACACAGAAACCUCAGCCAGGGCGGGAUGUGCCUGAUCCAUUUCGUUUCUGGCAGUAGUGGGAGAAAAGGGAGUCUCCAAAAUCUAUAAAUCGACUCUCUCUCAAAUUGUGUGGGAUUAAGGAAAAGGCUAAUGGAAGGUGGGUGUUCCAGCCUCCAUGAGCUGCCCUCAAAUGCUUUCUGAAGGAUGCAGAAGCCUUGGUCUGAAGGAGCAAAAACAGCCCCAAGAGGACUUUGAGAGUGUCUGAGUGACUUUGCCAAAAUGCAGAUUACAAGGGAAUUUAGAAUAAUGGAAUUACA
rnacentral:lncRNA from 1 species